rnacentral:lncRNA from 1 species
AGUGGCCAUGCACCAAGAAGUUGGUACUCUCCUGGUACACAAACACAGAGCUUCAGCAUCCAGAGAACUCUGGUUUCCUGACACCAUAUUAUCAGCACUUCAAGUCUGUCAGGGUCAUGGCAACAAGUCUUGAGGGGAAAGAGAACCAAAUAUGGCAGUAAUCAAGGACGCCACACCCAGAGGAUUGGCUUCAAAAUGCCACAUCCAACUGGUACGAUAAGGAAAAAGUUCCAGCUUCACUCUAUUCAUAGUUUGUCGAUCUUUGGCAUCCUCAGAAUGUGGGCCUUUGG